UACAGGGGGGGCAAGCGUUGUUCGGAAUUACUGGGCGUAAAGGGCCAGUAGGCGGCCGACUAAGUCCGACGUGAAAUCCCCAGGCUUAAACCUGGGAACUGCGUCGGAUACUGGUUGGCUUGAAUUCGGGAGAGGGAUGCAGAAUUCCAGGUGGUAGCGGUGAAAUGCGUAGAUAUCUGGAGGAAUACCGGUGGCGAAGGCGGGUCUCUGGGCCGAUACUGACGCUGAGGAGCGAAAGCGUGGGGAGCGAACAGG
rnacentral:rRNA from 1 species